CCGUGCCGAGGUGUGGCGGCAUGCGGUGGUGCCUUUUGAGGUGCUUCCUGGACAGGCGGUAUUAGAGUUCAGAUAGAGCUGCCACUAUUUACCAAACAUGAAGGUGGUGCUCACAGCUCUGGGGGGGCAGGAGCACUACAGAAAUGCGCAGAAAAGGGAGGAAGGAAGCCCAUCAGCCUGAGGACCGUUUGCAACGUGACCCUGAGAAAGAGGUGCCUGAAAUUCUCAGCAUUUUGAAGGCAACCCAAAUGAGAUGUGACGAAGUGCAGCGUGCUCUUUCUUUUUGCAGAUCUAUGUAUUUACUGAUGUGCAAAGAAGCCCCUUUGGAAGGCCAAACCACCACGCUAUGGAACAGACAGCUAUGUUUGGGUUUGAUUCUGAACAAAACCUUGCUUUUUGUUUCAUAAGUUUUAUUAAAAGAGAUAGAAGAAUUAUUAUACAAAUGUUAAAUGGAUAUCUCAUCUCUUGAUGACAAUUAUGGUUAUGGCAAGAGUAUUACCGUCAAUUGUAAUGCCUGAAAAUGUUGUGAGAACUUCAAGAAACCGAGAUCUGGCUGUACAUCGUCAGGUAAUGCCUCUGGGGUAACGUGCGGAAGAAAAAGAGGGUUCUGCUUUUUCAGAAUUAAGAAAGAUUGUGGUCAUAUUAAAGUCUAUGUUAGCUUCAUCAUCUUAGCCGAUACUGAAGACCAGUGUAAUUUGCAAGAGAAAUUUGAAUGUAAAUAUUGUCAGCAUUUUUUCACACUUUUUCAUUGUGAAACAGAAACCAUUGAAUGUAAUGAGAAGGAAGUUAAGAAACUCCCUCUCAGGAUACUGUGCGUUUCUUACAUAUUGCCACACCCUGUCAGCAAUAAACAGAUCUCUUAAUUGC